CUACGGGUGGCACCAGUGAGGAAUUUUGCGCAAUGGGGGAAACCCUGACGCAGCAACGCCGCGUGAGUGAAGAAGGCCCUUGGGUCGUAAAGCUCUGUCAAUGGGGAAGAAGUUACUUGGUAUUAAUAGUGCCUUGUAUUGACGGUACCCAUGAAGGAAGCACCGGCUAACUCCGUGCCAGCAGCCGCGGUAAUACGGGGGGUGCAAGCGUUAUUCGGAAUUAUUGGGCGUAAAGGGCACGCAGGCGGUCCUGUCAGUCAGAUGUGAAAGCCCGGGGCUCAACCCCGGACGUGCAUUUGAAACAGCAGGACUUGAGUACGGGAGAGGAAAGGGGAAUUCCUGGUGUAGAGGUGAAAUUCGUAGAUAUCAGGAGGAACACCGGUGGCGAAGGCGCCUUUCUGGACCGAUACUGACGCUGAGGUGCGAAGGCGUGGGUAGCGAACGGGAUUAGAUACCCGCGUAGUC
rnacentral:rRNA from 1 species